CGGAGUGUAGCUCAGCCUGGUAGAGCACUGGUCUCGGGGUCCAGGGGCCGGAGGUUCGAAUCCUCUCACUCCGACCA
rnacentral:tRNA from 1 species